rnacentral:rRNA from 1 species
AAUUGCUAGUAAUGGCAGGUCAGCAUACUGCCGUGAAUACGUUCCCGGGCCUUGUACACACCGCCCGUCACACCAUGAGAGUUGGAAAUACCCGAAGCCUGUGAGCUGACGAGUUACGGGGCAGCAGUCGAAGGUAGAGCCAAUGAGUUGGGGUGAAGUCGUAACAAGGUAAC